UACGGGGGGGGCAAGCGUUGUUCGGAAUUACUGGGCGUAAAGGGCUCGUAGGCGGCCAACUAAGUCGGAUGUGAAAUCCCCAGGCUCAACCUGGGAACUGCAUCCGAUACUGGAUGGCUUGAAUCCGGGAGAGGGAUGCAGAAUUCCAGGUGUAGCGGUGAAAUGCGUAGAUAUCAGGAGGAACACCCAUAGCGAAGGCGGCACUCUGGGCCGAUACUGACACUGAGGAGCGAAAGCGUGGGGAGCGAACAGG
rnacentral:rRNA from 1 species